rnacentral:lncRNA from 10 species
CUGACUCAUCCUGAGCCACCAGUUCUGUAACCGCCCUUCCCACCAAACUACUUACCCCACCACUCUGGCUCAUACUCCUGCUGUUUUUUAAAAGAGCCAAUUGGAAUUAGCUUAGACUGUGCAGUCCAACAGACUGUGCAGUCCGACCCUAGCCAAUGGGGGAGUGACACAGCAGUAGAGGCUACCUGCAUCAGGAAUAAGAACCUCUUCCCCUCCUCUGUCCAGGUGUGCUCUCGCCAUUGUUCCAUCUGCAAGGAGCACUCUUUCUGCAGAAGGGACCUAUUCUCCUCUGGGGGUAGUCUCCAGUCCUCUCUCCUAAGGAGGUGCCCUGCUGCCUCAUUGCUGUGGCCUCAGCGGUGAGGAAUUGAGACCCACCUGCUGUGCUGAAUAAACCCGGACUCUCAGCAAUGCGGAAAGAAACCGGCUGGUGACCUGAAGUAAAGGAUCCUCACAUACUACGUGGACCAGACAACCUCGUGCACAAGCCAAGGAAGGAAACACUGGAGGAGCUGGUAAAGUAUUUCCUUGGUGGUCAAGACUAAGGAAAGAAAAAACACAGGGGCAAUGAAGCAUUCCUUGAUUGGGACAUACCAAGGAAAGAGAAGCUGCAGGGGUGGUAAGGCAUUCCUUAGUUGGGACUAAAGAAAGAAAAUCCAUGGGGGGCAGUGAAGUAUUCCUUGGUCAGGAGGUUAAAAAGAGGUGAGACAUUUCUAGUAAGGGAAAUUGAGCCUCAUCCCAAAAGGCAAGACAUUUCCUGUAAGGGAAUUGAGCCUCACCCCAAAAUGUGAAACAUUUCUGGUAAGGGAAAUUGAGCCUCACCCAAAAAUGGAAAAUACCCCAAGUAAGGUAAAGGAUAAAGCUAACAACAAUAAUAUUCCCCCUAAUAAUCCCCUAGGCCUAAUGUUAAAAUAUUAGAAGGAUAAAAAAAAUCUUAUAAAGAGAGAGAGAGAGACAGAGAGUCAAAGAGAGAGAGAAAGAGUAAUAAAGUGAAAGCAACGUACCUAUUCCUUUAAAAGCCAGGGUAAAUUUAAAACCUGUAAUUGAUCAUUGAAGGCCUUCCCCGUGACCCUAUAACACUCCAUUACUGCCUGUAAAGAAGGCAGGUGGGUCACACCAGUUAGUGCAAGACCUUAGAGCUAUUACUCAGAUAGUCCAAAUUACCCACCCUGUUGUUAUGAUAAUAGAUUUAAAAAAUGUCUUCUGGGCUUGUCCAUUCACAGAGGACAACCAGGACCUAUUUGCCUUUGAGUGAGAAGACCCUCACUCCAAUUGAAAAUAGCAAUACUGAUAGACAGACAGUCUUACCCCAAGGGUUUACACUCUCCAAAUUUAUUUAGUCAAAUAUUAGAACAAGUCAUUUAAUUAGCAAAGGUAAACAGCAAAUUGAGCUUGAACAGAUUGAAGGCAUCAUAUCCUUGCCUCUGCCAGAGACUAAACAAGAGCUUAGAAAAUUUUAAGAUUAGUUGGGUACUGUCAUCUAUGGAUAGACUCUUAUGCCCUAAAAACAAAACCCUUAUACAAAAAGCUCACACAAGAUGGGCCCAACCCCCUCAUUUGGCAAUUACCAGAAAUCCAACAGGUGGAAAGGUUAAAACAACUAUUAGUAACUGCCCCUGUCCUAUUUUUGCCCUCCUUAAGCAGCCAGUCCAUCUUGUUUUCAGUGUAAACAAGGGCAUAGCCUUAGAAAUACUUACCCAAGAGCACGGAGGCCACUGACAACCUAUAGCCUUCCUAUCAAAAAUUCUUAACCCAGUAACCCGCAGAUGGCCCAAAUGCAUUCAGUCUUUAGCUGCAACUGCUUUGCUAACAGAAGAAAGUAGAAAAAUAACUUUUAGAGGAAACCUCAUUGUGAACACACCUCAGCAAUUCAGAGCUAUCCCAAGUCAAAAAAAGCAAAAAGGUAGCUUACUGACUCAAGAAUCUUAAAAUAUGAUGCUAUUCUGUUAGAAAAGUAUGAUUUAAUAUUAACCACUGAUAAUUCACUUAACCCAGCAGGUUUCCUAACAGGGGAUCUAAAUCUUAAUUAAUUACCAUACAAAGGCCCAACCAGACCUAAGAGGAACUCCCUUCAGGAUGGGAUGACACUUAUUUAUUUAUAGGUGGUGCCACCUGGGUGAUUGAGGGAAAAAGACCCAAUGGGUAUUCAGUAAUUGAUAGGGAAACUCUUGUAGAAAUGGAGUUAGGAAAGUUGCAUAAUAAUUGGUCUGCUCAAACGUGUGAGCUGUUUGCACUCAGCCAAGCCUUAAAGUACUUACAGAACCAGGGAAGAACCAUCUAUACCAAUUCUAAGUAUGCCUUUGAAGUGGCUUAUACAUUUGGAAAAAAAAAAGUUUAGACUGAACGAAGUCUUAUUAAUAGCAAAGGAUAAUUAAAAUCCCAAACUUACAAGAUUUUCAACAGAAGUAAAGUUAGCUACAAGUUAACAGUGUAACAUGUAUUAUCCUAAUUUCCAAUCUUGUGGCCUUAGGCAGUCUAGUGCCCGGACAUGAAGGAAGUUCACUUUGGAAAAGAACAGUUAUCAUCUUUGACAAAAAAAAGGGGGGGAGUGGAGAAUUUAUGUAAAAGAAAUGUUAUAUGGUAAAUUCUUGUCCUAAAAUAGAUUAACUGGUUGUUUAAAGAAAGUGAUGUUUACAAGUCAGAAAGUUGAGGCAUGUCGAAGACUGUCUGUGAAAGUCAUGAAAAAUGCUAUAAAAGGGAAUUUAUGCAAGAAUUGUUGUAUAAUUUAAAAGUAAUUAGGCCUCCUGAAUGUAAAAUUAUUGAAGAAACAGUUUAUGUGCAAGGUGUGUAAGGAAAGUAAAACAUACUUUUGGUAAAGGAGUUAUAAGGAGGCAGAAGAAUGUGAAUUUUUACCUACAUUAAAAGGUUAAAAAAAUUGUUUUGAAGGUUUAAGCAAAUUUUGAAAUGUUAAUUGUAAAGGAAAUUCUGUGUGUAAACAUAUUGCUAAAGUUAAAGGGGUAUCAUACAGUUUUUCUGUGAACUGGACAUUAAAAGCAUGACAGUUUUUUUUAAAGCACUAAACUGCUCUUUAACAAAAAUUAUAAAGGGUUAAAAAGAGUCUGUAAAAAUCUUACCUUAUGGUCAGACAUUAAAAUUGGAUAAAUAAUGUCUACAAGGUUUUAUAAAAAUUGAGUUUAACAUUAAUAACACACUAAUAUAAAGGUAAAAUUUAGCUUAUCUGGUAUAAAAUCAUACAGGAAGCACUGUCAAAUAUAAAAUGACAUUUGGCUUUCUUUGGUCUAAAAACCAAUAAAAAUAGGUGCUAAAAAAAAAUUCAGAAGGAAAAAGGAUAUUGCUAAACCAGAGAAAAUUGUUAUCCAAACCUCUUAUGAGGGAAAUCCUGUUCCAACUGCAUUGAGGGACCCAUUGGGGACCCCAAGGCAUGUGUGAUGUAGUUCUCAGAGUUUAUAGGGGUAUAGAAAUUUACACCCUGGCGAAAGUUACAGAUAGUUGCUUAGCAUGUAGGAAAACUAAUAAACAAGCUAUAAAAACAUUACCCCUCAGGGGAAGGAAUCCAGGCUUAAGGCCAUUCCAGAAUAUCCAGAUUGAUUGCAUAGAGAUGCCUCCAAUUAGUCAUCUAAAGUAUAUUUAUUAGUAAUAGUAGAUCACCUUACUCAUUGGGUAGAAGCUAUUUCCUUUUCAAGUACAACUGCUAAUAGUGUAGUCAAGGUAUUAGCUGAAAAUAUUAUACCCAAGUUUAGAUUAAUAGAAAAGAUUGAUUCAGAUAAUAGGACUCAUUUCACUGCACAUGUC